AAGGGUUUAGCUUAAUUAAAGUAUUUGUUUUGCAUACAAAUGAUGUAGGUUUAUGAACUUGCAAUCCUUA
rnacentral:tRNA from 1 species